GCCUCUUUAACUCAGUUGGUAGAGUACGUCACUAGUAGUUUCCGGUCAGAAAUGAUCAGAGAGACGGUGAUGACGAAGUCAGUCGUUCGAACCGGCUAAGAGGCA